CAACUUUCAGCAGUGGAUGUCUAGGCUCGCACAUC
rnacentral:rRNA from 2 species